AUUGAACGCUGGCGGCAUGCUUUACACAUGCAAGUCGAACGGCAGCGCGGGCUUCGGCCUGGCGGCGAGUGGCGAACGGGUGAGUAAUACAUCGGAACGUGCCCAGUAGUGGGGGAUAGCUCGGCGAAAGCCGGAUUAAUACCGCAUACGACCUGAGGGUGAAAGCGGGGGAUCUUCGGACCUCGCGCUAUUGGAGCGGCCGAUGGCGGAUUAGCUAGUUGGUGGGGUAAAGGCCUACCAAGGCGACGAUCUGUAGCUGGUCUGAGAGGACGACCAGCCACACUGGAACUGAGACACGGCCCAGACUCCUACGGGAGGCAGCAGUGGGGAAUUUUGGACAAUGGGCGAAAGCCUGAUCCAGCAAUGCCGCGUGUGUGAUGAAGGCCUUCGGGUUGUAAAGCACUUUUGGCGGGAACGAAAAGGACUGUGCCAAUACCACGGUUCGAUGACGGUACCCGCAGAAUAAGCACCGGCUAACUACGUG
rnacentral:rRNA from 1 species